CACACUCAGCCUGAGAACCACUGCUGCAGGAACAGGUUGCCAGACACAUAGGACUUCAGUGAAUGUCAACUGAGUAAUGUUUUAAAUUAAAAUUUUUUGUUAUUUUUCUGAGUGAGACAGACCUCACUGUCAUCCGUGGUGGAGGAGUGCAUUGGCACGAUUACAGCUCACUGCAGCCUCUACCUCCCAGGCUCAAGUGAGCCUCCCAUCUCAGCCUCCCCAAUAGCUGGGACUACUGGCACCGUGCGGCCAGGCCAGCUAAGUUUUGUAUUUUUUGUACAAAUUGGGGUCUUCCUAUGUUGCCCAGACUGGUCUUGAACUCCUGGCCUCAAGUGAUCCUGCCUCAGCACUCAAUUCCAAAGUGCUGGGAGUACAGGCGUGAGCCACCGCACCUGGCCUCAGUAAUUUCUGUUUCUCUCGUAGUCUGAAUGCCUGAGUUCACUUUCUUCUUUUAGUAUUUGAGAUAUAUUACAGGAGAGUGCAGAAGCCCUCAGUAUAAUGCUGGAUGAAUUAUCACCAACAGAUUAACCUUGUGGCCACUGUCCAGCUUAGGAAACCGUCAAGGUGGUUUUACGCACGACGAGCUGCUGAAGGUGUGGAAAGGACUGUUUUAUUGCAUGUGGAUGC
rnacentral:lncRNA from 10 species